GAUACGGCCCAGACUCCUACGGGAGGCAGCAGUGGGGAAUAUUGCACAAUGGGCGCAAGCCUGAUGCAGCGACGCCGCGUGGGGGAUGACGGCCUUCGGGUUGUAAACUCCUUUCGCUAGGGACGAAGCUUUUUGUGACGGUACCUAGAUAAGAAGCACCGGCUAACUACGUGCCAGCAGCCGCGGUAAUACGUAGGGUGCGAGCGUUGUCCGGAAUUACUGGGCGUAAAGGGCUCGUAGGUGGUUUGUCGCGUCGUCUGUGAAAUUCCGGGGCUUAACUCCGGGCGUGCAGGCGAUACGGGCAUAACUUGAGUACUGUAGGGGUAACUGGAAUUCCUGGUGUAGCGGUGAAAUGCGCAGAUAUCAGGAGGAACACCGAUGGCGAAGGCAGGUUACUGGGCAGUUACUGACGCUGAGGAGCGAAAGCAUGGGUAGCGAACAGGAUUAGAUACCCUGGUAGUCCAUGCCGUAAACGGUGGGCGCUAGGUGUGAGGGUCUUUUCACGACUUUCGUGCCGUAGCUAACGCAUUAAGCGCCCCGCCUGGGGAGUACGGCCGCAAGGCUAAAACUCAAAGGAAUUGACGGGGGCCCGCACAAGCGGCGGAGCAUGUGGAUUAAUUCGAUGCAACGCGAAGAACCUUACCUGGGCUUGACAUACACCGGAUCGGGCUAGAGAUAGUCUUUCCCUUUGUGGCUGGUGUACAGGUGGUGCAUGGUUGUCGUCAGCUCGUGUCGUGAGAUGUUGGGUUAAGUCCCGCAACGAGCGCAACCC
rnacentral:rRNA from 1 species